AUGCAGAGCUCAACAUGAAUCAUGAUGUUCCUGCGGAGCAUAGUCGUGCCGUGCCAGAUGUACAGCACAGCAAAACAGGGCUUGACACCAAUAAUCACUUGCAUGUUGUAGAACAACCACACAGUAUGUUAUGGCAGUCAGGUAUUCACCAUGGUGCAUCAGGGCUGGACAUGAACCACAUUGUUGCUGUGCAGCAUGGUUAUGCCAUACCAAUUGUGCAGCACAGCACAACAGG